GAUGAACGCUGGCGGCGUGCUUAACACAUGCAAGUCGAGCGAAGCACUUAAGUUUGAUUCUUCGGAUGAAGACUUUUGUGACUGAGCGGCGGACGGGUGAGUAACGCGUGGGUAACCUGCCUCAUACAGGGGGAUAACAGUUAGAAAUGACUGCUAAUACCGCAUAAGACCACGGUACCGCAUGGUACAGUGGUAAAAACUCCGGUGGUAUGAGAUGGACCCGCGUCUGAUUAGGUAGUUGGUGGGGUAACGGCCUACCAAGCCGACGAUCAGUAGCCGACCUGAGAGGGUGACCGGCCACAUUGGGACUGAGACACGGCCCAGACUCCUACGGGAGGCAGCAGUGGGGAAUAUUGCACAAUGGAGGAAACUCUGAUGCAGCGACGCCGCGUGAAGGAUGAAGUAUUUCGGUAUGUAAACUUCUAUCAGCAGGGAAGAAAAUGACGGUACCUGACUAAGAAGCCCCGGCUAACUACGUGCCAGCCGCCGCAGUAA
rnacentral:rRNA from 1 species